UAUAAUUCAACGGUGUUUCUCUUUCGGUCGAGUCAAUGUCGACGUGGAACACACUAUUCCAGGCUACGUACCUGGACAUUUGGAUCUGAAAAUGUUCAUGCCAGGGUAUAUAUUUAGGGUUUCUUUUGAUUCUAUCUAAUUAUAUUUAGGGUUAAUUUGUGUUGCUAAACAUUUAAUUACCAUGAGAUUGAACGGAAAGUUUAUGUUUAUGACUGUACUCUGCAUUCUCAAUUGCUUGUUUCUGCUAUUAUUUCUCAGUCCGCAUCAUUUAGGGUUAGUCCCAAAUGAAUCUAGAUUUCUUCUGCCGCUUCAAAGAAGUUGUUCCAAAGCUUCUUGUGUCACCAAUGGCUCGACCUCCUGCAAAAUGUGUUCUUAAUUAGCUAGAAGAUUUUUAUUAGUUAUUUAUCCCGCCUUUUUGCUUCUGAUAGAGACACUGCCUAUAAAGAUGAUGUCAUAGAAGAAGCUCACCGGUAGGUGGAGUUGUUGUCAUCGAAAUCAUCGCCUGAGGGAACUGAAGAUCGGGAAGCCCAAAAUGAAGGAACCGAUAACCUGGCGGGUCAUCGUUCAAAGCGCAAACGGACCCUGUCAACUCAGGGAUUUGAGAUAUAUUAGGGAUUUCCAAUUUAUGCUAUCUUAAUUAGAUUAAGUUGUUCCGUAAGAAUACUAUUGCGUUAAUGUGUAUUUCAUUUAAGUAAUACCCUAUAUAAGGGGAAAUGGGUUGUAAUUGUUUUUUUUUUAAUUAAUAAAAUUUCCAACUUUUACUUAAAA
rnacentral:lncRNA from 1 species